rnacentral:rRNA from 1 species
GACGAACGCUGGCGGCGUGCUUAACACAUGCAAGUCGAACGGAAAGGCCCUGCUUUUGUGGGGUGCUCGAGUGGCGAACGGGUGAGUAACACGUGAGUAACCUGCCCUUGACUUUGGGAUAACUUCAGGAAACUGGGGCUAAUACCGGAUAGGAGCUCCUGCUGCAUGGUGGGGGUUGGAAAGUUUCGGCGGUUGGGGAUGGACUCGCGGCUUAUCAGCUUGUUGGUGGGGUAGUGGCUUACCAAGGCUUUGACGGGUAGCCGGCCUGAGAGGGUGACCGGCCACAUUGGGACUGAGAUACGGCCCAGACUCCUACGGGAGGCAGCAGUGGGGAAUAUUGCACAAUGGGCGGAAGCCUGAUGCAGCAACGCCGCGUGCGGGAUGACGGCCUUCGGGUUGUAAACCGCUUUCGCCUGUGACGAAGCGUGAGUGACGGUAAUGGGUAAAGAAGCACCGGCUAACUACGUGCCAGCAGCCGCGGUGAUACGUAAGGUGCGAGCGUUGUCCGGAUUUAUUGGGCGUAAAGGGCUCGUAGGUGGUUGAUCGCGUCGGAAGUGUAAUCUUGGGGCUUAACCCUGAGCGUGCUUUCGAUACGGGUUGACUUGAGGAAGGUAGGGGAGAAUGGAAUUCCUGGUGGAGCGGUGGAAUGCGCAGAUAUCAGGAGGAACACCAGUGGCGAAGGCGGUUCUCUGGGCCUUUCCUGACGCUGAGGAGCGAAAGCGUGGGGAGCGAACAGGCUUAGAUACCCUGGUAGUCCACGCUGUAAACGGUGGGUACUAGGUGUGGGGUCCAUUCCACGGGUUCCGUGCCGUAGCUAACGCUUUAAGUACCCCGCCUGGGGAGUACGGCCGCAAGGCUAAAACUCAAAGGAAUUGACGGGGCCCCGCACAAGCGGCGGAGCAUGCGGAUUAAUUCGAUGCAACGCGUAGAACCUUACCUGGGUUUGACAUGGAUCGGGAGCGCUCAGAGAUGGGUGUGCCUCUUUUGGGGUCGGUUCACAGGUGGUGCAUGGCUGUCGUCAGCUCGUGUCGUGAGAUGUUGGGUUAAGUCCCGCAACGAGCGCAACCCUUGUUCACUGUUGCCAGCACGUUAUGGUGGGGACUCAGUGGAGACCGCCGGGGUCAACUCGGAGGAAGGUGGGGAUGACGUCAAGUCAUCAUGCCCCUUAUGUCCAGGGCUUCACGCAUGCUACAAUGGCUGGUACAGAGAGUGGCGAGCCUGUGAGGGUGAGCGAAUCUCGGAAAGCCGGUCUCAGUUCGGAUUGGGGUCUGCAACUCGACCUCAUGAAGUCGGAGUCGCUAGUAAUCGCAGAUCAGCAACGCUGCGGUGAAUACGUUCCCGGGGCU